rnacentral:lncRNA from 1 species
CUAAUUGUAUUGUAUUGUUACCUUGAAAAACUGCACAACUAAAUAUAUGGAGAAGAAAUUAUAACCAGGAGAUAAAAAAGACCUCAAUGGUCCCUUAAGUUCAGGGGAAAGUCUGUAACGGGGCUGUGAUGAUUGAUUGUUUUCCGAGCUUCAUGGAAUCAGGAUUUGAUAGGCCGUAUCUUGGCUGGGCUGCUCGAUAACGGGAUUUGCAGCAAUGGCAGUGCUUGAGAUGGAGGUCAGACC